rnacentral:tRNA from 1 species
CUGGAGUUGGCUCAGUGGUAGAGCGCAAGACUUGCGCAUGUGAGGCACUGGGUUCAAUCCUCAGUACCACAUA